rnacentral:snoRNA from 1 species
UGCAGAUGAUGUAAAAGAAUAUUUGCUAUCUGAAAGAUGGUGAUGACGUGUUAAACCACCAAGAUCGCUGAUGCA